AGAGUUUGAUCCUGGCUCAGCCUGAACGCUGGCGGCGUGGCUAAGACAUGCAAGUCGUACGGGUGUAGCAAUACACCAGUGGCGAACGGGUGAGUAAUGAAUCGCUAACGUACCCCGGACUCUGGGAUAGCCAUCCGAAAGGAUGGGUAAUACCAGAUGAUAUACCUUGGUCGCAUGGCCGAGGUCUCAGAGGUCCGCCGGUCUGGGAGCGGGCGAUUUCGUAUCAGCUAGUUGGUGAGGUAACGGCUCACCAAGGCGACGACGCGUAGCCGGACUGAGAGGUUGGCCGGCCACAUUGGGACUGAGACACUGCCCAGACUCCUACGGGGGGCUGCAGUAACGAAUCUUCCGCAAUGCACGAAAGUGUGACGGAGCGACGCCGCGUGUGGGACGAAGCCCUUCGGGGUGUAAACCACUGUCGGGGGUUACCAAGUUCUGAGGAGCCCCAGAGGAAGACACGGCUAACUCUGUGCCAGCAGCCGCGGUAAGACAGAGGUGCCGAGCGUUAGGCGGAAUCACUGGGCUUAAAGCGUGUGUAGGCGGGUCCGUAAGUACCUUGUGAAAUCCCACGGCUCAACCGUGG
rnacentral:rRNA from 1 species